rnacentral:tRNA from 1 species
AGAAACUUAGGCUAAAUUUAUACCUAAAGCCUUCAAAGCUUUCAAUGGAAGUUAAAAUCUUCUAGUUUCUG